UACGUAGGGGGCGAGCGUUGUCCGGAAUUACUGGGCGUAAAGAGAGCGUAGGCGGCACUACAAGUCUCAUGUGAAACACCCGGGCUUAACUUGGGGGUUGCAUGGGAAACUGUAGAGCUUGAGUACAGGAGAGGCAAGCGGAAUUCCUAGUGUAGCGGUGAAAUGCAUAGAUAUUAGGAGGAACACCAGUGGCGAAGGCGGCUUGCUGGACUGAAACUGACGCUGAGGCUCGAAAGCGUGGGGAGCAAACAGG
rnacentral:rRNA from 1 species